UUCUGAAAUGAUUCUGGCAUUUGAUCUCAACCUGCUGACCUAACCUAACGAACAACAGGGGAAUAGCAGAAAGAACAAUUUUACUUUUGAAUUUUAUUAUUGUGUCAAUUCGCAGUUUCUGAGUUUAAAAAUUUCAUAUAACAGUAUUUCAUAUAAGUUAACAGUAACCGAGAAUCCAGAGAUGGUCUAGCGGCCAAAGCGUUAGACAUUGCUGCAUUAAGUUCUGAAGUUACGGUAACUGUGUUAGCAUCACAGAUUAUAAGAUACGUCUGGGGUUCACGCCUCACUCAGACCCAGAGCUGUAGAGUGUAAUAAUUCAGUAAUUGAGGUGGGCAAUGUGGUUCCUUUAAAUUACCGGAACGGACCCUCAAUUACCGGAACAGACCCCGGUCCAGAAAUUUAAUAGCAAAGACAGAAAGAUCUGAAGAUACAUUUAUACUACAGUACGGUACUAGAUAUCUUGGUGAAUAAAUUUUGACAUUAUUUUCUUUCAACUUCAUAACAAUGUCUUCUAAGCAGAAUAUCACACUUCAUAUGGAUGGAAUAAAUGCUUGUGAAUCAAGAGAAUAUGAGCAAGCUUUGAAACUUUUCAAGCGAAUCGCAGAACCUUCGGCUGUGAUAUUCUUCAACAUGGGAUGCUGUUACUUGAAACUAAAUAACUUCACAGAAGCUCUCAAGGUCAGAUUUUUGUUUUGUCUUAAUUUUUUUUUUUCAGUUUUGUCUUUAGAGCAUUGUAGCACAACAUGAUAAGAAACAACAUGAUAAACGAGAAUAUCAGUCAGAGACCGAAGAAUUAUUGAUCGAAAGUUAGGGGAUCCCCAAAACAGCGCUCUUACUCCAUAGUGACACCUUGUGUCCCA